GACGAACGCUGGCGGCGUGCCUAACACAUGCAAGUCGAACGGAACUGUUUUGAAAGCUUUCUUCGGAAUGAAUUUGAUUUAGUUUAGUGGCGGACGGGUGAGUAACGCGUGAGUAACCUGCCUUCAAGAGGGGAAUAACAUUCUGAAAAGAAUGCUAAUACCGCAUGACAUAUCGGAACCACAUGGUUUUGAUAUCAAAGAUUUUAUCGCUUGUAGAUGGACUCGCGUCCGAUUAGUUAGUUGGUGAGGUAACGGCUCACCAAGACCGCGAUCGGUAGCCGGACUGAGAGGUUGAACGGCCACAUUGGGACUGAGACACGGCCCAGACUCCUACGGGAGGCAGCAGUGGGGGAUAUUGCGCAAUGGGGGCAACCCUGACGCAGCAACGCCGCGUGAAGGAUGAAGGUUUUCGGAUUGUAAACUUCUUUUAUUAAGGACGAAAAAUGACGGUACUUAAUGAAUAAGCUCCGGCUAACUACGUG
rnacentral:rRNA from 1 species